CGUGUAGGCGGUUGGUCAAGUCGGGUGUGAAAGCCCGGGGCUCAGCCUCGGAAGUGCAUCCGAAACUAGCCAGCUAGAGCGCGAUAGAGGAGGGUGGAAUUCCUGGUGUAGCGGUGAAAUGCGUAGAUAUCAGGAGGAACACCGGCGGCGAAGGCGGCCCUCUGGAUCGUUGCUGACGCUGAGACGCGAAAGCGUGGGGAGCAAACAGGAUUAGAUACCCUGGUAGUCCACGCCUUAAACGAUGGGUACUAGGUGUUCGGGGUGUUGACCCCCUGAGUGCCGCAGUUAACGCAUUAAGUACCCCGCCUGGGGACUACGGCCGCAAGGUUAA
rnacentral:rRNA from 1 species